rnacentral:rRNA from 1 species
UUUACCUGGNUUAUCCUGCCAGUAGUCAUAUGCUUGUUUCAAAGAUUAAGCCAUGCAUGUGUAAGUACAAACCUUCCUUAGGGUGAAACCGCAAACGGCUCAUUAAAUCAGUCAUAAUUUAUUGGAUGUAGGCUAUCCGAUACUCGGAUAACCGUGGCAAUUCUAGAGCUAAUACGUGCACUUGAGCUCCGACGCCGGGGGCGGGGAUUCUUUCGAGGUCUCUCGCUCUCGGGGGAAGGGCGCAGUUAUUAGAAUCAUAAACCGAGGCGGGCUUUCGAGUCCGAAUCCACUUGGUAUAUGGUGACUCUGGAUAACGUUGCCAAGCGCUUAGGCCUUCGAGCCGGCGCUGCAUCCUUCGAGUGACUGCCCUAUCAGCUUUCGAUUGUAGGAUAUACGCCUACGAUGGCUGUAACGGGUAACGGGGAAUCAGGGUUCGAUUCCGGAGAGGGAGCCUGAGAAACGGCUACCACAUCUAAGGAAGGCAGCAGGCACGCAAAUUACCCACUCCCGGCUCGGGGAGGUAGUGACGAUAAAUACCGAUGCGGGACUCAUCCGAGGCCUCGCAAUCGGAAUGAGAUCACAUUAAAAAAGUGGUCGAGGAUCAAUUGGAGGGCAAGUCUGGUGCCAGCAGCCGCGGUAAUUCCAGCUCCAAUAGCGUAUAUUAAAGUUGCUGCGGUUAAAAAGCUCGUAGUUGGAAUUUCGGUUCGUACCGGCGGCCCACCUAAGGCGCGACCGCUUAGGAUGUUCGUUACCUCUCUCGCCCUCGCGCUUCCCCUCGAGCGUCCAAUGAUCCGUCUAACGGGCUCUUCCGUCGCCGCUUUCGCCUUCACGGGCGUUUGUCGCGCGCUCGGUCGUAUGCUGACGUUAGAUAUAGGCGUUGGGUUCAUACUCUCGAGCGGGGUUGCGGCGCGAGACCAGCGAAUUGGUUUCUCAUCCAUUGCGGCCCCCGCGCCCGGUGGUACUAACCGUCCGGUUACGGAUUUGAAAUGAAAACACUUCGUCGGCGCUCACGGGGUGCUCUUUACCGAGUGUCUCGCGUGGCCGACGACGAUCACUUUGAACAAACUAGAGUGCUCAAAGCAGGCAAAAAUUGAACGCCUGAAUAGCAAUGCAUUGAACGAUGGAACAGGACCUCGGUUCUGCACUUAUAUAUUUUUUCUCGGUUUUUCCCGAACCCGAGGUAAUGAUUAACGGGAACGGUCGGGGGCAUUAGUAUUGCGACGCGAGAGGUGAAAUUCUGUGACCGUCGCAAGACUACCUACUGCGAAAGCAUUUGCCAAGAACGCUUUCAUUAAUCAAGAACGAAAGUUAGAGGAUCGAAGGCGAUCAGAUACCGCCCUAGUUCUAACCUUAAACGAUGCCAACUAGCGAUCCGCGUACCAGUCAUUCCCAAGACUGCGCGGGCAGCCCCCGGGAAACCAAAGUUUUUGGGUUCCGGGGGUAGUAUGGUUGCAAAGCUGAAACUUAAAGGAAUUGACGGAAGGGCACCACCAGGAGUGGAGCCUGCGGCUUAAUUUGACUCAACACGGGAAACCUCACCAGGCCCGGACACCGGAAGGAUUGACAGAUUGAGAGCUCUUUCUCGAUUCGGUGGUUGGUGGUGCAUGGCCGUUCUUAGUUGGUGGAGCGAUUUGUCUGGUUAAUUCCGAUAACGAACAAGACUCUGGCCUACUAACUAGUCGGCGGAUCGUUUCCCGAGACGGGUUCCCCCUCCAAGCGUGCGUGUUCGCGUUUGUCGCGGCUCCGAACGUUCCGAUUAACGCGGGAGUAGGAGGUUAGGGGUAGUAGUUCGCUGCUGCCUCUGAUUCUCUCUCUCGCGUUGUCGGGGCACCCGGGCUAGUCGCGGCGGCGCGGCUAAACGCGCUAUAAGGGGUCCCAACGAGGGGCGUCCGUCGUAUAAUAUCUUCUUAGAGGGACCGGCGGUCUCGAACCGUACGAGAAGGAGCAAUAACAGGUCUGUGAUGCCCUUAGAUGUCCUGGGCCGCACGCGCGCUACAAUGCAGGGAGCAGCGUGCUUUCCCCCUCCGAGAGGAGUGGGUAACCCCAUGAAACCCCUUCCCGAUUGGGAUUGGGGGUUGCAAUGGUUGCCCAUGAACGAGGAAUUCCUCGUAAGCGCGAGUCAUUAGCUCGCGAUGAAUACGUCCCUGCCCUUUGUACACACCGCCCGUCGCUACUACCGAUGAAUGAUUAAGUGAGAGCGUCGGACCGGCGCCCUCGGCAGCCCUCGGAUCGAAUCAAAGUUCCGGCCAAAGGAUCCACUUUGUGGGUUCUCGGAACCGACCGAGUAAGCGCCCCGGGCUUCGCCGGAAAGACGUUCCGGAACUU